GGUCAGGAUACUGGUACAGCAUAUAUAUGGACUACAGUGGAGCUGUUUGACUAACAUUACUGGAUUAAAAACACAUUUCGUUGACCGGGAAAUAUGACUGAAAAUCCAUCGACUUUUGGUUGACCGGGAGAUCAUCGGGUGGUAGACCAACGUACUGCACAGGACACAUCUCAUUUCUGGACCAUUGGGACCCAUACAAUUAGAGAGGAAAAUGCCAGGCGGAGAGGGAAAAAAGAAAGAUAUCAUCUGCAGGAGGGACUGAAGCAAGUAAAAAGAUGCUCGUACACAGCAGAUGGAGACAGACGCCGUCACCCAAUUUACUUUUGCCCAGGCAUGCGCCGGACCAGGCAGGAUGGACUGGACGACAACGUCAGAGAACUGUAAAUA